AGGCAGGACGGCCAGUGCAUGGCCGCAGCACCUGCUGAGGAAGGGCCGCCCCAGGUCAGGAGGCUGGUCUUUCGCCACAGUGUCCCUUCUUUUGGGCGGGUGGACGGAGAAACAGGCAAUCUUAUUCUGGAGGGGGAGAGGGAGGGGGAGAGACCCCCCCGCCCAAGAGGCUGCAGGGGCUAAGCCCCCCCCCCCAACCUCCCUCUUGGCGCUCGGCAAGCUUCCGUCCCACACUGACUGGGCCUGCUGCAGGAGCCCGGAGGUCGGGAGGCCUGCGUGAGUCUAGGCCGUGCCCGCGUCUAUGAAACCUGGGCGGCCCUCCAGCAGCCAAUCAGGAGGCCUGCGUGAGUCUAGGCCGUGCCCGCGUCUAUGGAACCCGGGCGGCCCUCCAGCAGCCAAUCAGGAAGGCGCUGGCUUGCAACAUUCGGAGAGCGCCUUCACCGUGCCUGUCUCCGCGUUCCUUCCGGCCGGGCAGGCGGAGGAGGCAGCGAGGAGGAUGUUUUACCACAUCUCCCUCGAACACGAGAUCCUCCUCCACCCGCGGUAUUUUGGGCCCAACCUGCUGAACACCGUGAAGCAAAAGCUGUUCACCGAGGUGGAAGGGACCUGCACAGGGAAGUAUGGCUUUGUCAUUGCGGUCACCACCAUCGACAACAUUGGGGCGGGUGUCAUCCAGCCCGGGCGCGGCUUCGUCCUGUACCCGGUCAAGUACAAAGCCAUCGUCUUCCGGCCCUUCAAAGGAGAGGUGGUGGACGCCGUGGUGACUCAGGUGAACAAGGUCGGACUCUUCACGGAAAUCGGGCCCAUGUCCUGCUUCAUUUCCCGACACUCCAUCCCCUCCGAAAUGGAAUUUGACCCCAACUCGAAUCCCCCCUGCUACAAGACAGUCGAUGAGACUCCUGGGAUGUUGACUCUGCCACCCAAUCCCAACAGGAUAUUGUCAUUCAGCAAGAUGACGAAAUUCGGCUGAAGAUCGUGGGGACCCGAGUGGACAAGAGCGACAUUUUUGCUAUUGGGUCGCUCAUGGAUGACUACCUUGGCCUCGUCAGCUGAAUCUCCUCCGCGUCCGGCUCGCCCUUCCCCGGACUCUCCACCACCGAGCCUGGCCUCUGGAUCUCGGGCGCUGGCUUUCUCUCCUGAGCCACAGCAGCCGGGCAGCGCGGGUGGGACCGGGCCCGCUCUGGGUCUCCAGUUCAAGUCUUCUGGGCUGACGCUCUGCUUGGCGGCUCUCUUGUGCUUCUCGCCUUUCUCCUUUUCUUUCUUGAGCAUCUUUGUCUCUGGGCAGUCUUACCAGAAAGCCACAUGGUUGCAAAACAAAGUUCAAACAUUAAAACAAUGAUAGAUUCUGUAA